rnacentral:rRNA from 1 species
AUGGACCAUUCCAUCCCUUUUUCCCGUGCAUAUGCAUCGGACUCGGAUGACGAUGGUCCCGAUGAACAAGUUGAUGCGGAGGGGUUCACGGUGAAGGAGGCCGAAGCUUUCGAGAAGGUAUUCGGUCAGGAUCAUCAGACUACAUUGUUCAAGUAUGUUAGUCUCGCGGAUGAAGCCAUGGUAGAUGGUGGCCAAUGUAUAUCUCUUGAGGUUAGGCCA